rnacentral:rRNA from 1 species
UACGGGGGGAGCAAGCGUUGUUCGGAUUUACUGGGCGUAAAGGGCGCGUAGGCGGCGUGACAAGUCACUUGUGAAAUCUCCGGGCUUAACUCGGAACGGUCAAGUGAUACUGUCGGACUAGAGUACAGAAGGGGCAACUGGAAUUCUCGGUGUAGCGGUGAAAUGCGUAGAUAUCGAGAGGAACACCUGCGGCGAAGGCGGGUUGCUGGGCUGAUACUGACGCUGAGGCGCGAAAGCCAGGGGAGCGAACGGG